rnacentral:rRNA from 1 species
GAUGAACGCUGGCGGCGUGCCUAAUACAUGCAAGUCGAACGAGUGGCGAACGGGUGAGUAACACGUGGGAAACCUACCCUUCAGCGGGGGAUAACCGUCGGAAACGAUGACUAAUACCGCAUACUGCAGGAUGGUCCCGCGGUGCAUUAGCUAGACGGUGGGGUAACGGCCCACCGAGGCGAUGAUGCAUAGCCGGCCUGAGAGGGUGAGCGGCCACAUUGGGACUGAGACACGGCCCAGACGCCUACGGGAGGCAGCAGUGGGGAAUCUUCCGCAAUGGACGAAAGUCUGACGGAGCAACGCCGCGUGUGUGAAGAAGGUCUUCGGGUCGUAAAGCACUGUUAUCAGAGAAGCGGUAACCGAAAAAAAAGCCACGGCUAACUACGGGCCAGCAGCCGCGGUAAUAC